UACGAAGGGGGCUAGCGUUGCUCGGAAUUACUGGGCGUAAAGGGCGCGUAGGCGGCUCUGUUAGUCAGGCGUGAAAGCCCAGGGCUCAACCUUGGAAUUGCCUUUGAUACUGGCUGUCUUGAGUUCGGGAGAGGUGAGUGGAAUGCCGAGUGUAGAGGUGAAAUUCGUAGAUAUUCGGCGGAACACCAGUGGCGAAGGCGACUCACUGGCCCGAUACUGACGCUGAGGCGCGAAAGCGUGGGGAGCAAACAGG
rnacentral:rRNA from 1 species